GAGAAUGACCUGAAAGCCUCUUUCCAAGUUAGAGCUGAUGCUAUUUCUAAGAAGCAGGAAAAAAAAAAAAAAAAAAUGCUAACUUCCAGAUCGCUAAAGCUCCAUUAUGGGCUAGUUUGGGAAAAGCGAGUUCUCUAAGCGCGCCAAGAGGCUGCAGGUACUUGGGCUGCACUUGAGGAAGUGUCCGGAGUUGGCAGAAACAGCCCAUCCUCUCGGGCUUCACACACAGUUUUGAGGCUUCCUAGAAAACCGUGGGGCCGAGGCCCCAGGCUUCGGCUCGACGCGCGCGGACCGAGAUUCAACCAGCUCUCUCUGGCCCUGGGCGGGAGGUUGGCGGGAUGGGAUGGAGGCGCGCAGGCUGGGUGUGCACUCUCCUAUCCCCAUCUACUCCGACCAAAAGCGCUCGGGGCCCCAACUCCACGAUGGCCAAGGCUGACUGUCCUAGAGUUUCCGAGUGGAGAAUGGAGUGGGCAAAUGGGAUAUGGACCUGAAAACCAGGUUCCCCCUGAGGGCCUGCCUGGGGUUGGCCCCGACUUGACCUGGAAUCUGCAACUACACAGGAGACUAGCCCCAAGCUCAGACAGAAGCAAAACAGCUUCUCCAUGGAACACUGGGUUUCCAAUGGAGUGUUGGGAGUCAGGUUAUGUUCCACUAAGAGGCAUCACCCAAGCUGAAGCCACAUCUCUCCAGGAGUAGCAACGCUGAGCAAAGUGGAAGGUGGACAUCUCAGCCUCGAGACCCACAGGCUCCCUUCCUCCUUCUGGCGAUGAUUAACUAGGCAAAGACAAUGGACAUGGAGGGAAGAAGUCCAUGUGCAAGCACCUGCUCCUCUCAAUCGUGAAUGGUCCUUCCUUCAUUCAUCCAUCCAACCUAUAUUUAUUGAAGCUGACUCUGAACAAUUGCAAGGAGGAUGAGAAAUGUUAACCCAAGUCAAAAGGGGACAGGGUGGGAGAGACCAUCAAAGACAGACAAGCAUACUUGCAAGGACCCCGAGGAAAGCACGAUAUAGCUGAGGAUC
rnacentral:lncRNA from 1 species